rnacentral:tRNA from 1 species
UUAAGGGUGACAGAGUGGUUUAAUGUACCCGAUUGAAACUCGGGCAGCCUUUGUUGGCUCACGGGUUAGAAUCCCGUUCCUUCCGC